rnacentral:misc_RNA from 1 species
GUGUUUUUCUCAUUAGAAUGCCACCACCACUGUCAUCUUCAUGAUUGCUUUCUUUUAACAAUAUAUUUGUGCAGCUUUAGCUUUGACUGCUUUAAUUAUCAUCAUUAAGUUUGGUAGAAUGAAUUUUAUUGUUGAAGUUAAAGGUAAGUAGCUUAAAAGCAAUUGCUUUUCAAUUCUCAUGCCUUUCUCUCAGUCCCUUAAUUAUUCUUUAUUAUACAAUUAUUCUUCAUUAUACAACAACCAAGUUUGAUUGUCAUUUUAAUAAUUACUUUCUGAUAUCCAUUUUGUGGCUUGUUCUAAAAGAUUAUCUGUGUUGUUGAUUUGUUUCUCAAAGUGUAUGAAUUCACUCACUAUUAGUUGCUUGAUCUAAGUUCACGAAGCUAGUUGCACUAAUUCUAUGAGAUUUGUGUUCUCUUCUUUGUAAUUUAUUGCAGCAAAAACAAUAGUGUUUAUGCAAUGCUAUUAUAACUGAAAAUGUGUCUGGUUAAGAGGUUGAUUACUCUAUAACAGAAUGUUGCAAGAUGAGGGCUUGGUUUAUACUUUUGUUGGGCAAUAAUUUUGUAACCUAGAUUGCCAAGCUGCUUCAUCAGUAUAACAAUCUACUGGAAAUCAUUCUUGCUAAAAUGUCAAUGAUAUUCUACCUUGUAUUAUUUCACCCUCAACUAUGCUAACUACUUAGUCAACGCUAU